rnacentral:lncRNA from 1 species
AAGGUAUUAUUGUUUGAUUCAUCUUUCAGUGCCAUCCAAUCCACAGUGCAAUUGCUUAUUGCAUACCUUCUAGGUAUAAUUUUAUUUUUUUUGUCGAAUCUUAGCAUUGCACCAUAGAUCUUCUCCACUAUCGAUCCUAUAGGAGAGACUGGCUGCUAUACAUGGGCCAGAGUAGUCCAUGAGCACCUAAUGUAAUUCAUUUUGAGGGCUACUGAAAAGGUAA